AUGAAUUUUCUUCAAAUUUUGUAGAAUUUCUAGUGCAAUCGUACUGGCGUAGUUUGAGGCUAUAAUUCGUAGCGACUACAAUAAAAUCUUAGAGGUUGGCAUCUCUGGUCUUAUGUUUAAUUUAAA